UACGAAGGGUGCAAGCGUUACUCGGAAUUACUGGGCGUAAAGCGUGCGUAGGUGGUUUGUUAAGUCUGUUGUGAAAGCCCCGGGCUCAACCUGGGAAUGGCAAUGGAUACUGGCAAGCUAGAGUGCGGUAGAGGGUAGUGGAAUUCCCGGUGUAGCGGUGAAAUGCGUAGAGAUCGGGAGGAACACCAGUGGCGAAGGCGGCUACCUGGACCAGCACUGACACUGAGGCACGAAAGCGUGGGGAGGCAAACAGG
rnacentral:rRNA from 1 species